UGGGCCUUCUUCAUCAAGGGGUGUAACUGCUGAUGUGCACUGAAGGAGCUCUUCUUCUCUGUGUGUGAAAUCAUCUCUCUCCAAAAUAAACACCAUAUGGUCAGGGAGAAAGGGACCAGGAAAAGAGGAAGGCGCAACAGCUGAAGCUGAUAGGAGAUAAAAUGGACUGAAUGAGGGGCCAAGGGCUCAUACUGUUCCAGCAAGGAAAUCCUGGGGGCUUUCAGAGCAGUAGCAGCAGAACUGGUGAUACAUUUUGAAUAGGAUGGACUAGAAGCUGCUCUUUCUUCUUGGGUUCUGUAUCUGGAUUUUGUCAAUAUCCACUUUCUGCACCCAUUUCAUAAUAACACCAUUGAUUUAUUCAUUAAAUUAUAGGUGUCAAAAGAACUGAAUUGUGCAUCAGAGCUUUCCCAUUAGCUGAUGAAAGAGCCAUGUAAAAAAAAGAAUUCACCAGCCCCUGUGACUGAAUUUGAGCGAUAAUGUCAAUGGAAUUAACACAUUGCCAUUGUUGAAUGGUCUCCUGUGGCUAUAUAAACAUCAAGCACUUUUAAGGCCUAAUUCCAUUUCUGAAGAGGACCUUUUGAAAAAGCUGGGGCAGAACUGCCUUCAGGAAAUCCAGGAUUCUUCA